rfam:Neurospora tetrasperma FGSC 2509 unplaced genomic scaffold NETTE2scaffold_2, whole genome shotgun sequence.
ACAUAUACCAUAUUCACUGGGCCAAAACUCGGGAUCCCGUCCCCUCUCCCCUAGACAAGCCAGUGACCGCCAGGCUAGUAGUCGGCUCGGUGAUGACCGGUGAACCACCUGGUGUUGUAUGAU